GGGGCUGUAGCUUAGUGGCAGAGCACUUGCCUCCAAGUAUGAGGCACUGGGUUUGAUCCUCAGCACCACA
rnacentral:tRNA from 1 species